rnacentral:rRNA from 1 species
AUACGUAGGUGGCAAGCGUUGUCCGGAUUUACUGGGCGUAAAGGGCGUGUAGGCGGCCCGCUAAGUCCGUUGUGAAAAUCCAGGGCUCAACCCUGGACCUGCCUUUGAUACUGCCAUUCUUGAGUGCGAGAGAGGAAAGUGGAAUUCCCGGUGUAGCGGUGAAAUGCGUAGAUAUCGGGAAGAACACCGGUAGCGAAGGCGGCUUUCUGGCUCGCAACUGACGCUGAGGCGCGAAAGCGUGGGGAGCAAACAGGAUUAGAAACCCCGGUAGUCC